rnacentral:lncRNA from 1 species
AACCAGACAAAAUUUGAAAAGCCACAAACGUUGUCAUCGAUGAUGAUAAUAAUAAUUAAAACAGUCAACUGGUCAACAGUUUUGUUGCUUGCUCUUGUUCGUUCGUCUUCUAGAUCCUUAUCGCGGCAAAACCACGAGCGUUCGGGGCUUUCCAGCACACGGUUUCUUUGACGACACGACAAUGUUAUUCUUGUUAAUAUUAGAAGAAAUUAGGGCAAUUCUGGGAUAAUGUUUUUACCUGGGCACGAGCUGCUCGUUCUUCGAAGCAGCUCAGUUCUAUUUCUACUUUAAUUAGCCAACGUUCUUUAUAUUCCUCAAAUUCAUUAAUUCUUUUCAGUGACCUUUCUUCCUCUCGGUGACGUGGCCAUUAGCGUCUUCCACUCCACUUCUUCAACUCGAACGUGGAGCAAAUAUUACUCUGUGCUCUUGACCAUGGUCUUACCGUGAGACCUAGCUGUCAUCUCCAUCGAAACGUCAAUUAUGGUGUGCCUUUGGGAACACGGAACACACACCCAAAUUUCAUCAAUCAGAAAACUCUCCAGCGCGGAUUAAAACGAGUGAAUCGUUUGUAGUACACCGAUCAGAGCAUGCCACGUCAGAUAUUGUGGGUCCUACUUAUUGCCGGCCAAUAAUGUUGUUUGUAGGGUGGUAAUCCAUUAGCAGGUGCUACGUCUCACACGUGAAAUAUUGAAUAUUACUUUUUUUUUUUUAUGAUAGGAGAUUAUUGCUCAAAUUACAACUCAUAUUAUAUAAGAGUAUAACUGAUAUGUACAAUCAUAUAUAUAUACUGAGACCUAUUGACAUUAAUGCUGAUAUGGCAUUGCUCAGAUUUUUGUAACCCUCUCAAAUAUUCGAGGGACGUCAAACUUCUAUCCUGGGAGAAAGACUGCCUUCACUCGAGCUCUGUGGCUCCAAGAAAGGAAAUAUAAAUAUUGAAUAUUACUUGGUGCUGCAGAUACCAGAUUUUAUUGGGUUACUAUAAGUCCCUUCACUACUUUAAGAGUGGUAACAUAUCAAACAACUUGUACAAGUGUCAUAAUUAAUCAUUUUACUAUUAUAUAUUUACAAAAUCUGUCAUCUUAUUUUGGGAGCUUUGACCUAUUUGCAUAUAUAUAAUUUAGUGGCAUAGUCACUUUUAGAAUCAUCAGGGACAAAGUUAAUUUAUUUAAAAGAAUUUAAUUUUUCUCGAGUACUUCUAAGUAAUUUUAGAUUUAACAAAUUAGUUAAAAGUAAUUUUGAUGAUGAAAAUAUAAUUUUAAACCUACCUUUUUGUAAAUUAAUCAAAGUUGGCGGGACAAAUUACAAAUUUUAUUGGGGUAAAUACAAUUUAUAGUUGUAAUUUAGAAAAUAUUUUUGAAAAUUUUAUGACAAGCGGGGGGCAGCUGCCCUUUGUGAUUAUUGGUUAGUGCUUCCUUCUUGUCUUUGUCAGCUCAUCUAGGCUUCCAAUCUCCAGGCUGGAGGCCAAUAGCUGGGCUUAUUGCUAUGCUUGCUUCCAAUAUUACUCGGCACUCGGCAGUCAUCCUCUCCAACAACCGUGCUCUUUGCUAUCGUGCUGUACAGUUGUUGUGCUCUCCUGUAGCCCCUGUCGUUUUCUCUCCUUUUUUUAAAAAAAAAUUUAUGAUCCUGUUGCAGGAUUUAUAGCACCAUCAUUUAUUCUUUGAUUUUUCACAUUUUUUGUAA